AUUGAACGCUGGCGGAAUGCUUUACACAUGCAAGUCGAACGGUAGAGGGGGCAACCCCUUGAGAGUGGCGAACGGGUGAGUAAUAUAUCGGAACGUGCCCAGUCGUGGGGGAUAACGUAGUGAAAAUUACGCUAAUACCGCAUACGAUCUAUGGAUGAAAGCGGGGGAUCGCAAGACCUCGCGCGAUUGGAGCGGCCGAUAUCAGAUUAGGUAGUUGGUGAGGUAAAGGCUCACCAAGCCAACGAUCUGUAGCUGGUCUGAGAGGACGACCAGCCACACUGGAACUGAGACACGGUCCAGACUCCUACGGGAGGCAGCAGUGGGGAAUUUUGGACAAUGGACGAAAGUCUGAUCCAGCCAUUCCGCGUGCAGGACGAAGGCCUUCGGGUUGUAAACUGCUUUUGUACGGAACGAAAAGGUCUCUCUUAAUACGAGGGGCUCAUGACGGUACCGUAAGAAUAAGCACCGGCUAACUACGUGCCAGCAGCCGCGGUAAUACGUAGGGUGCGAGCGUUAAUCGGAAUUACUGGGCGUAAAGCGUGCGCAGGCGGUUAUAUAAGACAGAUGUGAAAUCCCCGGGCUCAACCUGGGAACUGCAUUUGUGACUGUAUAGCUGGAGUGCGGCAGAGGGGGAUGGAAUUCCGCGUGUAGCAGUGAAAUGCGUAGAUAUGCGGAGGAACACCGAUGGCGAAGGCAAUCCCCUGGGCCUGCACUGACGCUCAUGCACGAAAGCGUGGGGAGCAAACAGGAUUAGAUACCCUGGUAGUCCACGCCCUAAACGAUGUCAACUGGUUGUUGGGUCUUCACUGACUCAGUAACGAAGCUAACGCGUGAAGUUGACCGCCUGGGGAGUACGGCCGCAAGGUUG
rnacentral:rRNA from 1 species